rnacentral:rRNA from 1 species
GUGUCGGCGAGGGCACCUCUUUGGGGUCGGCAGCAGGCGAGGGCGUGAGAGGAGGGGGAGGACGGAGAAGAGAAAGCGUGGAGGAGGAGGACAGCGGCGGCGGCGGAGGCGAGGACGAUAGCGGCGGCGGAGGGCAGGGUGAGCGGAGGCGGAGGAGGAGAAGGGGCGGAGGAGGAGGAGAGUGGAGGAGGUAGGUACCGGCCGGCACUCUCUCGGCCGCCUUCGUCCUAGGCGAGGCGGGCCUCGGGAGGGGAGGGAGAGCCAGCGGAGUCAGAGGAGGUGGAGGCGGAGGUGGUUGGGGAGGAGGGGACGCAGGUGUGGGCCGAUCGUGCUGGGCUGGUGCGCGACACCUGCUCCUCCGGGAAUCAACGGGUCGGUUGGCACCGAACGGAGAAGGAGAGUAGAAGGAAGAAGAGUCUAGUCCGUGUCCACCAGCGGUACCUUCUCUUCCCGCAGUCCCACCCACCUCCUCAUUCCCACCCCCUCCUCGUUGCUCCGAUCUCCAGCAGCGCCUACCGGAGUUGGUUGUCCGUCGAGCCCAGGAAAGCCUUGUUGAACGAAACCCUUUCGUCCAGCCGAACGAAGUGAGUGCUCUACGACCUCCUGGUGAUGUUGUGUUUGCUUAGACCAAACUGUGGGUACUUGUGGCUUCUUUAGGUACUCGGGCCCAACAGUCCAAGAGGUGGCAACUGGUUGUUAGUUGAUACCUGAGAAUGUCAGAACGCGUCUUCUAACGUCGGUUCUAGUUACGUGUCAUGAAGUCAUAAAAGGGAAGUGUCAUGAUCACAAGCACGAGCAGCUGCCCCGCCACGUUCCGAGUUGAGGUUGCGCCGCCGCACCACCUACAUGCCACAUCCUUCGCCGGAGAGACCAACCUGCCGCAAGUUCGCGUUGGGGCUGCGGGCGACUCAUGACGGAGCCGAUGUUGGAGGGAGCCACUCGAGGUAGAAGGAGUACGAGGAGACGAAGCCGAUGAAAGAACCUGUACCGGCACCGAUAUAACUACACCACGAGUAGAACAACUACGAGUUACGGGAUGAGUACGUAGUCAAGGAUGAACUCGAGACAUCAACACCUAGGUACGAUAAGACCCCAAACGUCCGACGUCAGGUACAAAUCAACGAUAGUGUCCUCGAGUACACUACGAGACCAAAUGUAUAUUUACAACAACCUGAAGAUCCGUCUUGGUUACCGAGGUGCAGCGAGAUAUUUGCGAUACUUAUCACGAACACGGUGGUGGACAACACUCCGGUAAGAACGAUCCCGCUACUACUAAUUAGCACCGACUUUAUUCACACGGAAACUCGUUAGCUCCUUGGACACCCAUAGUUCAACCUAGGAGGGAGAACAGGAAUCUUAGGAAAAACUAGGACACUAUGAAUAACAAGACAGGAACCUACCAGUAAGAACAACUCACUAUUGGUCCCGUAUAGGUAAUAUUUGUCUAACUAGACCACUAUUCUCUACUGCCCCCACCCAAUAUACUAGCUCCUUUCCGCUUAGACUAGGGUGAUACGUUACUUGGGACUUGGGAAAAAUAAACAUAAAUUUCCACAACGAAUAAAUACGAGGCCACAAAUAUCGAUAGGAUACAUUUCUAAAGAAGAGAGAGUAUGGAAAUAACGUAUAUUCAACAAGAACUAGAAAAUAACAAACAACAACCAGGAGCUAAAUUGGACCAAUUCUCAUUCAACGUGAAACUGAGCGAGGGUCGUUCAAUAGUCACACCAGAGCGCAGCGGGGAGAGGAGAAGUUCUUUUGACACAGGAGGGGAGACGAUGAACAACCACCAAGUCCAUGUUCGGUAACUACGAGGAACCACCACGAACCUAGACCCUCACCUCUCUUCCUUCACCGCGUGCGAACCGACGGGGUGGGCUGGUAGCGGGGAGGAACGAGCUCUAACUCCAACGGGAGGAGACGACGGCUCAGGCCGCUCCCGCAGCAGUUAGAGAGGGGUCGGACCUACACUUCCGGUGAUGGUCAAAACUUCGACCAACUCCACUCGAAGGAGACGACGGCACAGGUCGCUCCCGCGGCAGCUAGAGAGGGGUUGGACCUACACCUCCGGUGAUGGUCAAAACUUCGACCAACUCCCCGUGGACCGUGAUAGAUGAAAGAUUCGAGACUACCGGUAACAUCUACCCCUUUAUUUUACUCCGAUAUGUCCUUCGUCGAGUGUUUAAACUCCGUAGAGUAGUGAUGUUCCUACUGGAAACGGUGUGUUUCUUACCGUUCUGGGAAUAUAGAGCCGGUCAAAACGGUUUAUUACCUAUAUAAUGUACCUGGAUUGUAUCGGUUACGGUGGGUUCGUCGUUAUAUUCGUUAAGUAAACGUGGUAGCGCCAAUGUUCCAACCCGAGACUGUUAGCCGCCACCAGCGCACGCCACCCGUAAAGUCCUUCGCCUACGAUAGUUCUAGUACGGUUUCCGUUUCGUACGGUUUCCCGCUACGAGUAAGGGCAAGAAUCACUCUACCCAAAUGAGCUACGUUUCAUACUCGUAACAUCUGAUCGCUCGACGACUUCCAGCUGCUCCUCCCGCGGUGGUGGUGGCAGUAGGACCAGGUGUAGGUGCGCGACGAACCACAGUGAUCCAGUGGCCGUGUUAGGAGUGCGGGUCUAGCAAGUUGUAAAAGAAGGCGAAAACCACGCAGUGUAAAUCUCAGAAAGAAAGGGUAAAAUGGCACAAACGUACUAUUCUACAAACCAACCUAAACUUCCAAGCAUCGGAACCGAGGUUUCGAAGUUCGAGAAUAUCUUUAAUCUUGACUCCCGGAAAAUUUAAAUCAGAACGUAUUAUCACAAAAAGUCACCCUACGUCUUAAAAACAAACAGACUAGCUGAUAGGAACCACGACUAAAUGCAUGACUCAAGUAGUAGUAUACUGAUAUUGUUUCUUCAACACACAUAUUUAUAAUGAUUGACGACUAUGAAACGCAGUCACUAAAGUUAAGACAACCAGGAGGAAUUAUAACGAACCCUAACACUCCGAAUUUUCAAAGUUGGGACACGUUACACGAAGAGCCCACACCUAAACACUGAUUAAUUGCCAAAACAAUUAUGACUAUAAAGAAACUUGUAAUAUACCC